UCCCUGCUGGUCCAGUGGCUAGGACUCCAUGCUCUCAAUGCAGAUUGCCCAGGUUCGACCCCUGGUCAGGGAA
rnacentral:tRNA from 1 species